rnacentral:lncRNA from 1 species
UGGUGAUGAGGUUUUGGUGAAACUUGGCACAGAGGUGACACUGUACAAUUCAAGGAAUGCAUCAUUCAAGCGAAUUGCCGAUUAUGUGUCGACCGAUGAUUUUCUUCAAGUUCAAGUGGCUACCUACUUAGAGAGCCUUGCUUCACCUCAUAGUUAGUGAACCUGAUGACAGGUUACAAACAUCUUGAAGGCAAAGAGAGAGAGGGUAAAUGAUCUUCCUGAUUGCCUGGUGCCCUGUUUUCAAAUUUGUGUCAUGUCAUUGCGUCUUUUUGUAUUUUUCCUUAUCUUGUUCAGGUUCUACAAAUAUCAUGUUCAAUUGGAGUUCUAUAUUUGUAUACAACUCAUAUCUUGCAUCAUGUUGUUACAAAACCCUUAAAUCCACUAAUGAUCAUCAAUGUUGAAUAGGAAAGAUUUGAGUGAUAAACAGAUGUGACACUGUACAAUUCAAGGAAUGCAUCAUUCAAGCGAAUUGCUGAUUAUGUGUCGACCGAUGAUUUUCUUCAAGUUCAAGUGGCUACCUACUUAGAGAGCCUUGCUUCACCUCAUAUUUAGUGAACCUGAUGGUUAUAGAAUCUCUACUUACUUUGGGAGGUCUAUCAUUAUUUUUCUUGAAUAUUUUCUUCUUAGGAUUCAAAGAAGUAUUUUGUGAGAUUCAAGAGUAGCAUUAUUUGAAGUAAUUAAAUUUACCUUCGUUGUGAUGUUGCUCUCUUCUGUUUGUAAAAGUGCUUCUUGGCCCCUUGCCUCUUCUUCCAUACGGAUUUUCAUCAUCAACAUUUCAAGAGAGGUUUCCUUUUGUUUGUGGCGCAUAGGUUUUUGAAAUUUCUUCAAAGAAGGUGGAAGUUUAUCUACUAUGCCACAAACAAUAAGGUUAUCUCCAAUUUUGACCUCCUCGGACCUGAGCUCUCCAACAAUCAUUAUAAAGUCUUGAGCGUGGUCUACUACUGAUUUAUUAUCCACCAUUUGAAAACGAAAAAAUCUACUAGCUGCAUAUUUUUUCGCUCCAGCCUCUUCGGUAUCAUACUUACUCUGCAAUGCUUUCCAAAUUUUCUUUGCACUAUAGUAAGUUCUAUCAUAAUAAUCAUAAAAUUUAUCAGAUAGACAAUUAAUAAUAUAAUACCGACACUUAUAGGAAUCACCAUCGUACUUUUUCCACUUUCUCUAGAUGAGAAAUAGUUUCAUCAUCAUUUAUAGAGGUGAUGUCUUCUUUGUUAGGAUUCUUCAUAGUUAACACAUAACAAACGUUGAGAAGACUUAAGUAGAAAAGUACUUUACCCUUCCAUCUCUUGAAAUGGUUACCAUUGAACCGAAAUGACUUGUUAAGAUCUCCCAUCUUGACAUCCGUGAUUUUUUCAAUUGUAGCCAUUAUGAAUCUCCUUAAAAUUGUUAGUGAAAUAUUACAAGAUAACAAAAAAUACAAGAUUACAGUUGAAAAUAAAAAGAAGAAAUAAAAUCUCUUUAGGUUGAGGCGCGGAUAUCUCGCUCUCUUUAAGGAGAUCCAAGUCCACUGCAACAAAUGUUUUUCACCCGUCCAGCAAUAGUCCUUCUUGACUUGUCCCCUCCAGAAUACAACAGCCUUGACAUAAAGUAUAAUUCAACAACUCUGGACAAGAGUUGAGUUCAAAACUCCACAAAAAGAAACACCUCCCUUCAACUAAUAAAAACUUUUUUUUUUGACAAAUUUUAUGCACUCUAUAUUUAAUUGUAUGUAUAAAUUAAAUGAAGACCACCACUAUUUAUAGUUGAGGAUGUUUUCCUAGCAAUGAAUAAAAAAAUAAUGAGGUAAUAAAUAGUGAAGAUAAAUGAUCUAGAGGUUACAUAGGUUACAAAGAAUAAUGAGGAAGAAUAAUGGAGAUGUAAUAGUCAUAAUUGACCACUACACACGUUCUGCCAGAAAAACACACAACGGACAACAAAUUUGCCCAACGUUUUCAGCAACGUUUAUCGCUAAUGAAGACUGACAAUUAAUCCAAAUUCAACUGCCCAAAGAAGUGAUGCAAAAUGCUGAGUAAUUAGGCUAUUUUACCUAACUUCUGACAGGUGUGCAAAUAAGGAAUUGGAAAAGCACUUCCACAUAAUUUUUAAUAAGAAUAUUAAAAUGCUUCUAAACCAACAAAUAUCAUGUUCAAUUGGAAUUCUAUAUUGUAUACAACUCAUAUCAUGCAUGAUAUUGUUAUAAAAUCCUUGAAUCCACUAAAGAUCAUCAAUAGGAAAGAUAUGGAAGGAAAUGAACAAUUGAGUCUUUCAGACCAAGAAGAGAAAUAAUGUGGUUCUCUCAAGGAAAAAUAUUCAGAAAAUGGUGAUGCAAUGUAGUUUGAAGGUCAAGUUAGCUAGUCGAAUUGUGAAACUUAAUUACUAUCCUAGAAUUAUACCUAUUGUGUAAUUGUUUUGCUACUGAUAUGUUAGGACUAUGCCCAACAACCAGAUACGCUGUACAUAUUUCCUACUUUGGUAUAGAAAAUGUCUCUAUUACAAAAAAAAUAUAUACUUAUAUAUAUAGAGAGAGACUAUUUAUAAACCAUGAAAAAUAUAAUUAUUUUUUCUUAACAUGUUAAAAGUGAUAAAUAAAUGAAAAAAAUAUAUUUUUAAAGUAGUGUAUAAGUGCAAUUUACGGAGUUUUUAAGACAAUUAGAGCAUGUUUGACCAAGUGGCUAAACAUUACUUAUUUCUAUAAGCAUUUAUUAAAAUUAUUUUUUUGAAAAUUCCUUUGUAAAAAUGAAAAAAGAAACAAUUUGUGUUUGACUAAUUUAUUUGAAACAUGCUUUUGAUAAGUAGAUUGUGUCUGACUAUUCAUUUUUAAAUGUGCUUUCGAAAAUCAAAUUAUGAAAAAAGACCAGUUAUCAAUGCACAUUAAAAUUAAAAUUAUUUAUACAAAAAAAUUAUUUUAAAUAUCUAUUAUAAAAAAAUUAUUUAAAAAGUACAUAUUACAGUUUUUAAUCAAUAUGAUAGAUAAAUAAUUCAAAGAAAAUAUUAAAUAUUAAUAUAAUAUUAAUCAUGAUAAUUUAAACAUAAUCAAUAACAUUAAGCCAAAUAAAUUUAAAAACAAUUGCACAAAUUAAAAUAUAUAAUAAUAUAUAAUGUAAAAUAAAAUAAAUAAUUUAUUGUGUGAAAAUGAAGAAUAAAAUUCAUAAAUAACGAUUAAUCAAACUUAUGAAAUAUGCUAAUUAAUUAACAAGGGAUAUAAUAGUUAAUAUGUAUAAAUGAUAGGAUAUUUUUGUCUUUGAAAAAAUUAUUUUCUACUUCUACUUUUUUCAAGAAGCAAGUUUUUUUACCUUCUACUCCUAUUUAAAAGUCAAACACUUUAUUUUAUUUAAAAAGUGCUAUUUCUAUAUAUAUAAAAAAACAAACAUGUUUUUCACCUUCCAACCGCUAGAUUAAACAUGCUCUUAAUUGGCAUAAAUAACCUUGCCUUUCAACAUUAAGAUUGAAUAAUCAUUUUUUCAUAACGAUUUUGAGGAGUCUUGUUGUUGUCGUUGUUUUUUCCUCAAAUCUGCUGGCUACAAAAACAAAUUGAAUAUUGUAUUCUACUAGUAGCAUCAAAAUCUAUUUUGACACCUAACGUGGAACCCGCAGAAGCAAAACUUAAAAGAGAGUGCAAAAUUUAAAAGUUGUUUUUUUUUUAAUAAUAAUAAAAAAAAGAGAGUGCAAAUCUACCACGUGUCAUUCAAAUAGAAAUAAGCCACAGGUGUACAAAUGAUAAGGUGAUCAACACUCUGACAAUUGACAACCAAAAACAUGUUGCUUACCUGACACCUCUUAUACAAGACAAAGGAAGUAACUAAUUACCUCUACUCUCCGUUUAAAAAAAAAACAACAACAUAUGUUUGACUUGAUAUCGAAUUUACAAAAAUAAAUAAUUUUAUAAUUACAAUUAAUAUUUCGUAAAAUGUAUAUUUAAAAAUAAAUUAAUUUUGUGAUUUAAAAUAUAUCUCUUGAAAAAACUAAAAUAUCAAAACUGGAAAAAGAAAAUAAGUUAUUCUUUUUAAAAUAGAGAAAAUAAUAAACUUAGCGUAAAAUAUGAGAAAUAAAUAGUUAGAAUAACAAUUAUACUCCUAUUUAUUUCACUUAAUUUCCUUUUUUUUUUUUGAAAACUCUCUUUUAUCGACGACUCUUUUAACAUAUCAUAUUACAUAAUAUGAGGGGGUUUAGAUUGACCUAAAAGUUGAUUAAACUUACUUUUAAGUCAGUAUUUGAUUUUAAAAAGUGUUUGAUAAAUAUAAAAAUAACUUAAAAUAAGUCAAAAAUGACUUAAAAUAAGAUAGGAAGUGUUUGUUAAGAUUAAAAAUAGCUUAAAAUAAGUUGAAAAUGACUUAAAAUAAGUUAAAAAUUAAAAGUAAAUCUCCUCAUAUUUUUUAUUUUUUUGACUUAAAAGUCAUGUAAAUUUGACUUUUUAUCUUUAACUUAAAAGCUACUUUUUAAGCCAAUCCAAUAGACCGUCCACAACCUUAAAUAUUUUUAAUUUUAAAAUAUAAAUUUAAUUAUUUUUAUAUAUUUUUUUUCCAUACAAAAAUCACUAUUAAAUAAAUAAAUUAAAACGAGACAAACAAAUUAAUAUAAAUUGAAUAAUAAGUUCUAAUGUGUUUCUUUUUUUAAUUAUUAUUAUUAGAAAAAUAAUACUCAUAUCCAUCUAGUGUUGGCAGAGCCAGAAAUUAUAUGCAAUAUAAGGCGGCUUAUUUAGGAACAAGACAAGUGAAAGAAAACGUAGCGCAAAAAUAAAGAAAGAGUGGCGUGUAAGGUUGAUGACAUCAAAAGUCAUUUCACUUUCAUAUUUUCUCUGUUAACUCUCACUAUCUUCUUCUUUCUAAAAGCUACGUAUUUCAGUUGCAAUUGCCUUUCAAUGUCACCCAUACAUAUAUUUCAAAAAACAAAAACAUAACAAUUGAAUGAAGAUGGAAGAAAUACCAACUCUUCCUCAAGACAUCAUCGUUGAAAUUCUCAUCAGGUUACCUCUCAAAAUCCUCUUGAAAUUCAGGUCUGUUUCGAAAUCAUGGCUUUCUUUACUCUCAGAUUCGCAAUUCCAUAAAACCCAUAUCAAUUUUUCUAUGAACAACCCCAAGUUUACCGACUACACACUUGCUGCUGUACCCACUGUUUCUGGUUUGGGCAAAAUCUGUCAUGUCUACACUAUACGCUCUGAAAAUUCAUCUGUUAUUGUGUCUAAACAUGAGUGUCCUUCUAAGACUCUGUCUCUCUCGGCUUGGAUUUUGGGGUCUUGUAAUGGGCUAAUUUGCUUAACUACUGAUUCGUUUAAUUUAAUGUUAUUGAAUCCGUGUACUGGAAAGUUUAAUGUAUUUCCUGAUUUGAUGAUUGAGUAUGAAGUUGGUGAUGGUGGUGUGCAUAUUAGAUAUGGAUUUGGCUAUGAUGCAUAUGCGGAAGAUUAUAAGGUUGUUAAGAUGUUUAGUUUUCCUCGAAUCGGUAAUGAGGGAAGAAGACAUGUUAAUAUGGUUAGUGUUUAUAGUUUAAAGGGUAAUUCUUGGUCAAGUAUUCAGGGUUUUGACAGUGGUUAUGUAAAUGGAAAUGUUGGUGUGUUUGCGAAUGGGGUUCUUCAUUGGGAAGGAUGUUAUGAUUAUGUUUCGGGUGGUAUUUCGUCUGAGAUCGUUACGUUGGAUUUGGCUAAAGAGAGAUAUGGGAGAAUAGCUCUGCCUAGGUAUGAAGGUGGAGGUAUUCAUUGGACAUUAGGUGAAUCAAGGGGGCGUUUAGUUGCUUGUUGCAAUUAUGAAUCGAAUAAGGCAGAUAUAUGGGUGAUGAAGGAAUAUGGUGUAGAGAAAACAUGGACUAAAUUGGUUACCAUCUCAUCACCGGAUGAUGGUAGAGUUAAUAUCUCGCCGUUGUUUGUGGCAGAGAAUGGUGAUGAGGUUUUGGUGAAACUUGGCACAGAGGUGACACUGUACAAUUCAAGGAAUGCAUCAUUCAAGCGAAUUGCCGAUUAUGUGUCGACCGAUGAUUUUCUUCAAGUUCAAGUGGCUACCUACUUAGAGAGCCUUGCUUCACCUCAUAUUUAGUGAACCUGAUGACAGGUUACAAACAUCUUGAAGGCAAAGAGAGAGGGUAAAUGAUCUUCCUGAUUGCCUGGUGCCC